AGCGAACGCUGGCGGCAGGCCUAACACAUGCAAGUCGAACGAAGUCUUCGGACUUAGUGGCGGACGGGUGAGUAACACGUGGGAACGUGCCUUUAGGUUCGGAAUAACUCAGGGAAACUUGUGCUAAUACCGAAUGUGCCCUUAGGGGGAAAGAUUUAUCGCCUUUAGAGCGGCCCGCGUCUGAUUAGCUAGUUGGUGGGGUAAUGGCCCACCAAGGCUACGAUCAGUAGCUGGUCUGAGAGGAUGACCAGCCACAUUGGGACUGAGACACGGCCCAAACUCCUACGGGAGGCAGCAGUGGGGAAUCUUGCGCAAUGGGCGAAAGCCUGACGCAGCCAUGCCGCGUGGAUGAUGAAGGUCUUAGGAUUGUAAAAUCCUUUCACCGGUGAAGAUAAUGACUGUAGCCGGAGAAGAAGCCCCGGCUAACUUCGUGCCAGCAGCCGCUGUAAGAC
rnacentral:rRNA from 1 species